UCGUUCUCUCAGGAUUAACGCUAGUGUUAUAACCUGCACCGCUUUAGUGGUAUCCGGAACCGAGUAACCGUAACUUUAUGCCUAUGGUAAAGUGAAGUGCUCGCAUCACUUACACGAUGGGCCGCGGUGCAUUAGUAGUGUGAGGUACAGGCUCACCCAAGGGACGAUGCCUAGCCGACCCGUGAAGGUGAUCUGGCCCCCACUGGGAGUAGAACACGGCCCGAGUCUCACGGGAGGCAGCCACUAGUGGAUCUUCUCGCCACAGGACGAAAAUCUGACGGAGCAACACCGCCGUGAGUGAUGAAGGCGUUUCUGGGUCGUUAUAACUCUCUUGUUAGGGAGGAGCACGUGCACGAGUAUAUGCUUGUACCCUGACAGUACACAACCAGAAAAACCACGGGUAAAUAUGUGCCCGCAGCCCGCGGUAAUAUGUAGGUGGCAAGCGUUAUCUCGGAAUUAUUGGGCGUAAAGCGCGCGCACGCGGUGUCUUAUGUGUGAUGUGAAAGCCCACGGGUCUACACCGGAGGGUCACUUGAAAAUGUGGAACAUGAGUGCAGAAGAGAAAAGCGGAAUUCCACGUGUAGCGGUGAAAUGCGUAGAGAUGUGGAGGAACACCACUGGCGAAGGCGGCUUUUUGGUCUGUAACUGACGCUGAGGCGCGAAAGCGUGGGGAGCAAACACGAUUAGAUACCCUGGUAGUCCACGCCGUAAAAGAUGAGUGCUAAGUGUUAGAGGGUUUCCGCCCUCUAGUGUUGCAGAUAACGCAUUAAGCACUCCGCCCGGGGAGUACGGUCGCAAGAGUGAAAAUCAAAGGAAUUGACGGGGGCCCGCACAAGCGGUGGAGCAUGUGGUUUAAUUUGAAGCAACGCGAAGAACCCUACCAGGUCUUGACAUCUUCUGACAACUCCAGAGAUAGAGCGUUUCCCUUUGGGGGACAGAGUGACAGGUGGUGCAUGGUUGUCUUCAUGUCGGGUCGUGAGAUGUUGGUUUAAGUCCCGGAACGAGCGCAACCCUUGAUGCUAGUUGCCAGCAUUCAUUUGGGCACUGUAAGGUGACUUCCGGUGACAAACCGGAGGAAGGUGGGGAUGACUUCAAAUCAUCAUGCCCCUUAUGACUUGGGGUACACACGUGCUACAAGGGAUGGAACAAAAGGCUGCAAGACAACGGGGUCAAGCCAAUCCCAUAAAACCGUUGUCAAUUCCGAUCGUAGCUGCAAUUCGCAUGCAUGAAGCGGAAUCGAAGUAAUCGCUGAUCAGCAGUGCGCAGGGCAUC
rnacentral:rRNA from 1 species